ensembl:lncRNA
GAAUCCGUGUGCCCCUGCUGAAGGGAGCUGCUUCCUCCUCCAGCAGCACAGCAGCCCUGAGCACAGCACCUCCAAUGGCUUCCUGCAGGCCCCACAGCCUUGUGGAGUAGCUCAAAGAUCCCCAGGAGGUGCAUAAAGGAGCCAACAGGCCAGGAUGCAGGGAACAGCUGAAAUAGCCAGCGCAGACACAAUGCGCCCGAGAGCUCACGUUUGUACCAGCAAGAACAAGCGCAGCACUCAGCACCUCUGCGAAGGCUCAUUAAAGGAGUUAUUUCUCCCCACAGGACUUGUCAAUCUGAUUCCACAGACAAGGCCAUCCUCCUAAACUGAUGAGCCAGAAGGAAUCGCUCGUCCCCACUGAGUAUCUCUCAAGACUGUGAAAUGGUUUAUGCUGCUGUUGUCAAAAAGCCAGAAUUGGCCUGAAAGACAGAGAAAAGGAGGAGUAAAUAUGUGAAACUGUGUGUGGUUUGCCCAUUCGGUUCCUACACUGGGGUUCAGGCCAAGCACGCUGCUAUAGAGGCCAAUGCCAGCUGGAGCUGGUUGAAUAGCAAAGUACACAAGCAAAUAUAAAAAUAUUUUCUUGAAUUGGAAUAGCACUGGUUCAGCAGUGAGCUGAUGCUGCUCCUGCUCGUGGGGCUUCCCCACACAGGUGAGCUUUGUGAAACUCUGAAUGCGUGCCGUGCUCUUGAGGUGGUACAAAAGCCUUUCCAGUGAAAACUGGAAUCCAGAAUAUGUCAUUUGCUCUUUGUUGACUGUCUCUGUGGCUUAACUGACACCAAAAAAGGACGCCUUAUUGGUAGCUAUUUAAAUGAGGGAGAGGAAGAGGAGAAAAUGAGAGAGAAGCAUUUCCAUAUACAAUUUUUCAUCUUUAAUGGAAAUGGUUUACAUCAUUUUAAAUUAGAUUACAAAUAGCUUUUACUCUGUUCCUCUAUGAUAAUUGCAAGACCGUUUUCUCAGCACAGUCAGCUGUCUGAUUACUGGAACACAUCAUUUUUUGUUGUCUCUCAUAUCCAACCUUAAGUGAAAAAGCAGUACGGUUGUGCCAUACCUUUGGAGACUGCUCAUGAUUGAGCAGUAAGUGAUCGUGUCCUAAAAGCACCAAGGCUGGACACAUUUCAGGCCAUCCAGACAAAAUGAUGAACCUUGCAUUUAAGGAGCAUGUACAGCCCACGUAGCACGUCCAUCUUUCUUUCCUCCUGUAGACACACAUUAGAAGGGAGAAUCAUUGACUGGUGCAGUGGCUUCAUCGCAAGAAUUAUGAUCACAGGCUGAGAUCCUCAUCUCUCCUCACCCCUAAAUUAGCUUAUAUUUAACCCAACUGCUUGGAAGGGAGUAAACAUUAAUCUGAAGGAGUUGGGAGAAGUACUGAACGCACUGCUGCCGUUGAAGUUAGAAAAUUAAAGCAGAAAAAAACAAUUUGCUACAAAUCCAGAAUUACUUGAUCAGAGUUCCAGACCCAAUGGAGUCUAGAGGUGUCUCGUUCUUUUAAAUUCACCUUCUUAUUUUGGAAAAGAAAAGCUGGGAAACUGAAUGAAAAGCAUAACCGAAAAAUAGAGAGGGUGCAUAGGACGAAAUAAAAAAUCCAGGGAAGGCAACGUGUCACCAGAUGAGAAAGCUGCAGAGGAGUUGCAGGGCAUCUCUCCUCUUUGUGUUGGAAAAGCGAUCGAAGAAAGCGCUGUGCGUUCGUCCCCGGAGGAAAUAUGUGUGUGUUGUUGGUUUUGCUUUCCUGCAGAAAAACGACUGCUAGAGCUCAGUCAGCUGUAGCAGCAGCAACGUUCAGCCACCUCCACAUGCUCAGCCCCGAGCAGCAGGGCCUGUGCAGGGCCAGCCAUGGGAACCACAACACAUACAAAGAGCUCGAUAACACCGUUUGAUAGAGCAAAUUCUCAGCUACAAAAUGCUAUUUUUCAGCACAGUCACCACCAUCAGCUGUGCAUUUUCACCAGUGAGGAACCACCACCUGAGCUGAGAACUGUGUCUCUUCCACAGCAGCCAACCGGAGCCCCUACAGCAUGGCCUCUCCAGGCCGGGAGAUUCAACCUCCAUCCCACCUGUAAGCAGGCAGAUCCUUUUUGUAAUUUUAGCUUCUAUAUGAGUAACAGAUUUACUCCUAUGUGCCCAAAAUACAAUUUGAAACAGAGAAAAAAUAGUUUUCUGUAGAGAUAGAUGCACACACAUCCAUACAAACACAAAUUCACAUUGCAACAUCAAAUAGGAGCGUGGCAUCUAGAUUAAGUGCAUAAAUAUGGCAGUAGUUUGUGCUUGCUUGUUGUUUAAACAGCAUAAGAGCAAAUUCCCUCCAGCUCCAGCAUAGAUAUUCUGUAAGAAGCUGUUCUACGUCUACAAGAAACAAUAAACUGAAGAG